GCCCUGGCUCAUCCACUUCUGAACCUCUGUGCACUACUGGUAAGAAAGGAAGAAAAUGGUGAAAGCUUAUUCUCCUCCUUCUUAUGGUUUACCCCAAACACUUCUGUAUAAGAAGUAUUGUUAUGUAUACCCAAUAUCCAACUUUCAGCACGGAUCUCUUGGCUCUCGCAUCGAUGAAGAACGCAGCGAAAUGCGAUAAGUAAUGUGAAUUCAGAAUUCAGUGAAUCAUCGAAUCUUUGAACGCACCUUGCGCUCCUUGGUAUUCCGAGGAGCAUGCCUGUUUGAGUAUCGUGAAAUCCUCAACUCCCUCUGGUUGUUCUUUCUUUUGGAAAUCGCUGGAGGCGAGCUUGGACUUGGAGUUCGUGUUGGCUUGUUAAGCAGAGUCGACUCCUCUUAAAUACAUUAGCGUGACUUUUUACGAAUCGCCUUCAGUGUGAUAAAUAUCUACGCUGUGGUGUGAAGUAGCCAUAAUUUGCGCUUAUAGCUGUCUCUUCGCGAGACAAUUAUCUUGACCAUUUGAUCUCAGG
rnacentral:rRNA from 1 species